GGUGGUGUGGCCGAGUUGGUCUAAGGCGUGGGAUUUAAGUCCCCAUGGGCGUGAGUCCGCGCGAGUUCGAACCUCGCCGCCACCA
rnacentral:tRNA from 1 species